rnacentral:lncRNA from 1 species
GAUCUCUCCGGGCAACCUUUUUGUUUUGUUUGUGUGAGUUGUUUCUCCCUUUCUGGUAGGAGUCUGAUGUAAGUCCAACGAUUGGCAGUUGGUUUCCUGUGUCUUGUUUGCUUGUUGGAGUCUGACGUAAGUCCAGCGAUUGGUAGUUGGUUUCCUGUGUCUGGUUUGUUUGUAGGAAUCUGACAUAAGUCCAGCAAUUGGCAGUUGGUU